GCGCCCGUAGCUCAACUGGAUAGAGCAUUGGUCUUCGGAACCAAGGGUUGGGGGUUCAAAUCCCUCCGGGCGUACCA
rnacentral:tRNA from 1 species